rnacentral:rRNA from 1 species
UACAGAGGUCUCAAGCGUUGUUCGGAUUCAUUGGGCGUAAAGGGUGCGUAGGCGGCCAGCACAAGUCAGUUGUGAAAUCUCCGAGCUUAACUCGGAAAGGUCAACUGAUACUGUGCGGCUAGAGUGCGGAAGGGGCAACUGGAAUUCUUGGUGUAGCGGUGAAAUGCGUAGAUAUCAAGAGGAACACCUGCGGCGAAGGCGGGUUGCUGGCCGACACUGACGCUGAGGCGCGAAAGCCAGGGGAGCGAACGGG